AAAAAAAAAAAAAAAAAAAAAAACGUAGUAACAGAAACCGAUCUGCUGGACGGGUGGGAAGCCGCCCCUUGCUGUUCCCCCUCCUCACCUCAGAGGUUAUCUGCUAUUCCGAGGAAGUGAACGACAGGAGGCUGGGUCUUAAAACCUUCGUUUUCUGACCAUCCCUGGAACUUGUUUCCCUACCAGAAACGCACUCGCUGAUCACAAGGAAGAGUUGAACUGACGGACAAACGUGUAAUAGGUUUUAUGUAAUCCACAUAUAUUAA